rnacentral:rRNA from 1 species
GAUGAACGCUGGCGGCGUGCCUAAUACAUGCAAGUCGAGCGAACAGAUGAGGAGCUUGCUCCUCUGACGUUAGCGGCGGACGGGUGAGUAACACGUGGAUAACCUACCUAUAAGACUGGGAUAACUACGGGAAACCGGAGCUAAUACCGGAUAAUAUUUUGAACCGCGUGGUUCAAUAGUGAAAGACGGUCUUGCUGUCACUUAUAGAUGGAUCCGCGCUGCAUUAGCUAGUUGGUAAGGUAACGGCUUACCAAGGCAACGAUGCGUAGCCGACCUGAGAGGGUGAUCGGCCACACUGGAACUGAGACACGGUCCAGACUCCUACGGGAGGCAGCAGUAGGGAAUCUUCCGCAAUGGGCGAAAGCCUGACGGAGCAACGCCGCGUGAGUGAUGAAGGUCUUCGGAUCGUAAAACUCUGUUAUUAGGGAAGAACAAAUGUGUAAGUAACUAUGCACAUCUUGACGGUACCUAAUCAGAAAGCCACGGCUAACUACGUG